rnacentral:rRNA from 1 species
ACGUAGGGGGCGAGCGUUGUCCGGAGUUACUGGGCGUAAAGGGCGUGUAGGCUGUUAAUCAAGUCAGGUGUGAAAACUAUCGGCUCAACCGAUAGCUUGCGUCUGAAACUGUUUGACUGGAGUUUGGGCGGGGCAACUGGAAUUCCUGGUGUAACGGUGAAAUGUGUAGAUAUCAGGAGGAACACCUGUGGCGAAGGCGGGUUGCUGGACCAAAACUGACGCUGAGACGCGAAAGCGUGGGUAGCAAACAG